UUUAUGUUCUGAAUUUGUGCAUUCGUCGAUUGUAGAAUAAGAGUAAUUUGAUAACGCCAAGGGGCAGUAGUGGAGGUUGGUAGUUAGUCCUGUUCGGAAAGGCCAUUCUAAAAUUAUAGAAGCUUCACUCCUCGGCAUUUGAUCUCAUCUUCCGAUUGUGACAUUCACUAACCAGAGCGGUUUGAGACUUCUUAAGCCGAUCAAGGAGUCUAAUCGUGGAAUCUUUUUUCAAGUAAAAUAUGGUUGACGUGUGAAGUGCUUCAAUGAAAUAAACCAAAGCAUACAACAAAGUCACAUCACUCCUUAUAUUGCAACAAAUGUUAUGCCUUGAAGAAGAUUUAUUAUCUGGGAGAAAAACGUAAUAUAAUGAAAUCAUAUUUAAAGUUACACGAAUCAUUCCAUAUAUAAGACCAACAAAGCAAAGAUCAUCUCGGAGUAAUGUUUUGAUGACUGUGAAAGUCUCUUGAUAGCAAUUUGAAAGGAAUCACUCCAUAGUGUAUAUAUAUAUAUAUAUAUAUAUAUAUAUGUUUUAUGAAGAAAGGUACAAUAAUAAAAUAAUGAAUUUAUGCAUUCAUGCAAAUUGCCACAAAUAAAAAAACAUUAUAAAUCAUCAACAAAAUUUGGAAAUAGAAACAAUCAAACAAGCAGCUUAAUAUUAGUUAUGUAAGGAUAAUUUUAUUUGUAGAAUAUUGGAAAAUAGUAACAAAAAAAUGUGUAUUGGCACAUAGUAUUAUACC